UACUGCAUUUUUUCUUACACAUGUGUUUUUCUUUUUUUGAAAACUUUGCUUUGGUAGGGUCGUAUGGGGCCUGCCAGAGAUUAAACUCAACCAAAUUUUAUUUAAUGUCAACCGAUUAUUUAAUAGUCAAAACUUUCAACAACGGAUCUCUUGGUUCUCGCAUCGAUGAAGAACGCAGCGAAAUGCGAUAAGUAAUAUGAAUUGCAGAUAUUCGUGAAUCAUCGAAUCUUUGAACGCACAUUGCGCCCUUUGGUAUUCCAAAGGGCAUGCCUGUUUGAGCGUCAUUUCUCCCUCAAACCCUCGGGUUUGGUGUUGAGCGAUACGCUGGGUUUGCUUGAAAGAAAGGCGGAGUAUAAACUAAUGGAUAGGUUUUUUCCACUCAUUGGUACAAACUCCAAAACUUCUUCCAAAUUCGACCUCAAAUCAGGUAGGACUACCCGCUGAACUUAAGCAUAUCAAUAAGCGGAGG
rnacentral:rRNA from 1 species